rnacentral:rRNA from 1 species
GACGUAGGGCGCGAGCGUUGUCCGGAUUUAUUGGGCGUAAAGAGCUCGUAGGCGGCUUGUUGCGUCAGCUGUGAAAACCCGCAGCUCAACUGUGGGCUUGCAGCUGAUACGGGCAGGCUUGAGUUCGGUAGGGGAGACUGGAAUUCCUGGUGUAGCGGUGAAAUGCGCAGAUAUCAGGAGGAACACCGGUGGUGUAGACGGCUCUCUGGACCGUAACUGACGCUGAGGCACGAAAGCGUGGGUAGCAAACAGG